CCAACCCCCUGCCCCCCCCAAGACAUGGGAUGCAGAGGUGUACAACCAACUCCCAACUCCCUCCCCCUCAAAGGGAGGCCCCAAAGACCCCCAAGUGGAGGCCCCUAGAAUGUACAAGCACCUCUCAACUCCCCCAGGCACAGGCAUCCCCCCCAAACACAGGCCACAAAGGUGUACAAACAGCCCAGACCCAGGGUAUGAGACCCAGGCCCCUAAAGUGUACAAGCAGCUCCCAACCACCCACAGAUGCAGGCCCCAAGGCCCCAACCCCUCUCAAAAGGGAGGCACCUACAAUGCAUGAGCAGUUCCCAAUCCCCCUGAACAUAGGUCCAGAAGUGUACAAGCAGCUCCCAACCCCCAUCAACGACAGGCCCAAAAAGUGUACAAGUAGCUCCCACACCAGAGACAGGCCCCAAAGGUGUACAACCAGUUCCUAAGCCCCCUGAGACACAGGCCACAACCCCCCCAGACACAGGGCCCCAAAUUCUACGAGCAGCUCCCAUCCCCUGCAAGGCAGGCCCCCUACCCUAUAUAAACAGCUCCCAACCCCCCCCCCCCCCCGAGGGAGUCCCCCAAGCCCCCCCAAACACAAGCCCUUACAGUGUACAAGCAGCUCCCAAACACCCCCAGAUGCAGGCCCCAAAGGUGUACAAACAGCUCCCACCCCUCCCCCAGACGCAGGCCCCAAGCCCCCCCCAAACACAGGCUCCUACAGUAUACUGCCUGCACCCAAUCCAUCUACCCCCGAUGACAGCCCCAAAGGUGUAGAACCAGCUCCAAACCUCCCCCCCCCAACCCAGGCUCCAACAGUGUACAAGCAGCUUCCCCCCACCUCACCUCAGACACUCAGCAGAUUCUGAGCAACGCGUACCACAGCACCACUAAAACAGAGGGGAAACACUUCAGAGACUUGCCUUAGGGGGACCCUUGCUUAGGGACACUGACUGGGCUGAUAACCCUCCUGCCUUUCCUCAGCAUUCCAGAGAGGAUUCGCCUCUCUGAGACUACAAGAAGCAGCCACUAAAGAAAAAAAAGGCAGAUCCUCAGGCACCUCACAGGCAUACUCUCUGUGAAUACUCUCUGUGUUCGCUCUUUCUGAACAACCCUAAAUAUAUCCCUACCCGGAAUCUGAGAGGAAUUUAAAAUAGGACCCCAGAAAACGCAUACAAAGCCCCUUUCGCCCAUAUUUCGCCCAAAUAUUUUUUAACCCUUCUGUUGAAGGUGGUAGCAAUCUUUAUUCAGUAGUCUUCUUCAUUAGAAAAAGCAUCUACCCAUCAUAGCUGUAGUUUUAAAGAUUUUCUUUUUUCUCGUGGAUAUGAUGAUCAGCCAACACUAAGAACACAGGCUACUAGUAGCAGUUUUAACAGAAGAUGUGAAAGAGGGAAAGGUUGUGCUUAGGGUGGACACGGCUGCUAUUUGUGUCCAAGGCUACUUCUUAAGCUUUAAUGAGUAGACUCAUGUUACAAAGAAGAGAAAAAACAUUAUUCCAAGGGGCCAGAGUAAAGAAUGGUAUACCUGUCCAUCUCAGUAGCCUUCCAAUAAGCCAUUUCAUGUUUCCUGGUCACCUGACACUGGUUUGAAGAGAGAUUACACAGAUGUAUGAAAAAUGUGGCCUUUAGAAAUGACAAACAAGAACCUAUCCAUCAAUACCAACAGUUGGCUUUUGUUUUGAUCAAGAGCCUGAAGAGGAUGGAUCUAAGACACUACUUUGAGACAGCCAAUGUCUAGAAGCUAGUUCAGAGAACAACGUCUCAUCACACUAAGAUGCAUGUAAUUCAUGCCACAGUCUGACGAAGACUACUUGUAUAAUGGCUAUUUGUCCAGUUUUCCCAGCAGUUUCAUAUUAUUGUAUGGUACUUUGUCUUUUAGAUAAGACAAAUGUGAAGAAGAACUUCACACUGCUUCUUGUGGCUUGUGUCAAACAAAAUUGAAGCAUAACUGCCAUGUUCCCUGCCUUCUAUCUACACUCCAGACUGCUCUUGUAUGUAUCAGGAUCUGAACUAGUGGAAAGAUGAUGACUCUCAGAAAAGCUUUCAAAAGAGGCUGAGAUUAUUCUGCAAAGAUGAAGACAAAAGUUACUGCGAAACAAUACACAGUUAAAUUAAAAGAAAAACAAGACACCCACAAGUAGUAGUAUAUACAUUCAGAAAAGGAGACCUCCCUGAUGAGAUACUUAAGACUGGAUUAGACAAACGUCUCCUAGACCACACUAUUUGCUACUUGGGCAAGGCUGGAGAUUGACUUCAUGAACUUCAUGGCUUUCCUUUGUGCAAUAAAGCUCUUAGUGUGAAUAUUGCAUUACUCCAUGAAUUUACAAGGAUGUAAUCUAAGCAGGGAAGCACAAUACAGAACAAGAUGACAAUUUAAGAAGUCUGAAAUAUUUCUUUGGCAUAUAAAUGAUGGAUCACCAUUAUAUUGCUUCUCACUCACAUCUGUCUGGAGGUCCCAGAUGAUAAAAUGCACACUCUUUGCCUUUUUCCUCCACUAGCUGAGUGCUGCCCAGUCUGUAAAAGUGAUUAGUGAUUAGAUUACACGUAUCCGGAUGUACUGGAACUCAUCUACUGGAGAUUCAGCACUCAAUCUGAAGACAAGGAGAUGAGAGUCUUUUCCUGAAGAUGGAGAAAGUCAGGAAACGGCAAACUAGAAAAAGACAGUGGUGGUUUGAAAUUAAUACUUCCAAAGAGAUGAAGCACCUAACAGACAGAGCAUUGCCAUAAAAGCAAAGUUAAACAAUUUUGCUUCUCUGAGUGUAAGCAGCAAUGUAACAGGAAGACUGCUUGUGAACUCUAUCUAGACUCUACAGUUCCAGUAAGCAACCCUUUCAAUUCACUAGCAGAGUUUCCCAUCAGAUGGUGCUGCAGCAAUAAAUAAUAGGAGCCUCAAAACAGGGAAACCUACACUACUAGAAGACAGUGAAAAUAUGACAGAUACAAACUAAAGGCAAGAGAAGAAGGGUUAACUUUAAAUUCUGGAACCAUCCAGCCUAGCAGCUGAUACCUGGAUCCUUAACAGAGUCUGAAAACCUUUUGGAUGCGGACUGGUUUUGCUUAUCAGUUCUUCAAAGUUAGGCAAGUUAGGUUCAAGGCAUAUUCCAACUGCAAAAAUAGCACAGCAUCCACCACCACGGCUAAAUGUUUUUUCCACAAAGAUAGACUUGAGUGGAAUACACAACUCCGAAAUUUAAAAUAAAUAAAUAAAUAAAUAAAUAAAUAAAUAAAUAAAUAAAUGAUACACUACUAUUUGCAGUUGGAAAUAAGCUAUGUUAAGAGUAGUUUCUUAACUAAAAGCCAAGUUUCUUAAAAUGCAAGUAAAGCAAGAUUUUCUGACAAAAGUGUACUCUCUUACUAGUCUAGCUGGUAUAGCUGGAAACAUAAGCACGCUUUCUUAAUAUACAUGUAUAGUCAGUGUGGAUCCAACCGUAAAUACAAAAGCAAGAUCACAUGUGCUGCCUUCAAUUCUGAUAAUAGAUAAACAUGAAUCAGGGCAGCUUCUGGAACCUUUAUUGUUAUAAGUUGCCCCCUUAAUUAAUUUUCAGAGAGCAUUGCAUUAAUAAUAGAAAGGAAUUUAUUGAGUAAGUAACAGCAAGCAAAACAGCGCUGGGUAGCCGGGGAGUCUCGGCUCCG